rnacentral:rRNA from 1 species
AACAAUGAAGAGUUUGAUCCUGGCUCAGGAUGAACGCUAGCGGCAGGCCUAACACAUGCAAGUCGAACGGUAACAGGAAUUAGCUUGCUAAUUUGCUGACGAGUGGCGCACGGGUGCGUAACGCGUAUACAAUCUACCUUUUGCUAAGGGAUAGCCCAGAGAAAUUUGGAUUAAUACCUUAUAGUAUUAUUUUAUGGCAUCAUUUAAUAAUUAAAGGCUACGGCAAAAGAUGAGUAUGCGUCCCAUUAGCUAGUUGGCGAGGUAACGGCUCACCAAGGCGACGAUGGGUAGGGGUCCUGAGAGGGAGAUCCCCCACACUGGUACUGAGACACGGACCAGACUCCUACGGGAGGCAGCAGUGAGGAAUAUUGGUCAAUGGAGGCAACUCUGAACCAGCCAUGCCGCGUGCAGGAAGACUGC